UCUGUAUUCCUGUUGUAUGUUUGUAACCUGGCCUCUUCCUUGAGGAGACAGCAGCAGUGUCUGGGGAGCUUCUCAGUUUGCCAUCAGACACAACAAAUGGACUUGAAAACUCCUCACAUAAAGCUGCUGCUGAUCCAGACGCAUCGCAACAUCUUGUUUGGCUUCAGCUGUAGGGAGACAACACACAGCCUUCUCGCUGGUGAGUUUAUGCAAAUCUGGCUUGCUGAAGGAUUGGAACAGAAGCUGGCAGUAUGUACAAGUCUAUGGUGUCAGAAUCUGUUUACAGCUAAACCAGUAAUGCAAUGUUGAUGAGCAGGGUGUGGCUGUGUAAAGUUAAGGUUUCAUUCACCUGCGUGAAGGUACUAGUGUGCAUUGUGGAGGCCUGGAUGUGCAGCACCACCCUAUCCACCAGCGGUUUGGGACCGGUUACAAAACCUAUCCUCAGCCUAAAACACACAGACAAUCAGUCAUAGAAAGACAUAAACAUGCUGGUGAAGUUCUGCAUAAUGUGGCUUUGAAUAUAUAGUGACAUUUACCUGGUCUUUCAAAAAAAAAACAAAAAAAAAAAAACAUUAAUUUUAAAAUUAACCCUAUCCUAUGUCGUAAUAAAAAUAAGGCAGGUCAUUGACCGUCAGCACACAAUGUCAUAAUCUGUGGUGUUUUAAAGAUCUUAUAGUUUAAGAUGCUUAUGAUGUAAAUGUAAAAAGGAAGUAUCUAUAAUAUGUUAAUAGGGGUUUUUAGGAGUGUUCGUACUUUUAAAAGUUUUCAUUAUGUGCUCAAUACAAGCUAAAGAAAACAAUAUGGUUUCCUACAAGCAAACCAUCAGAUGUGACCGGUGGGGAUUACACAAGCAAAUUAAAUACGAUACUGUACAAUAGACUGGGGGGGAAAAAAACACACCCUGUUUACAUAUCUGGUCCUGACUCGUUAAAGGAAAAGCACAAACACUGUGAUGUAACAGUCAAUAGAAUCUUAAAUGGCAACAGCAGAGCUUCAGAUGCACUGGGUUUAAACACACACACACACACACACUCAGAUUCAGACGCUCACCCUGAAGACAGGAUCUUAGAGAAGGAGUCUGUCCUGAUGAUCCUCCUGUCAACAUCCAUGGAGAGAAACGUGGGAGCCCACGGCUGCCAAAUAGAUGAGACAUACAGGAACAUGAAUUCUUAUGUCAUCAAUUGGAUUGUUAACUUAAUUCAUGGUUAUCCAAAAAGAUCAGAUCAUAAAGUAACAACAAAUGAGA